GAGUAUCAUGUUGUAGGGCUGCUUGCCCCGC
rnacentral:sRNA from 1 species